AUGCCUUGGAGCUCCUGCUAUGUGGCUGUGGUUCUGGUCUUCUUUCCUGUACUUAAAUCUCGUGUUCUUAUGUUUUUUUGGUGGGCUUUCAAGCCACUUGUGUUUGCAUUUUGUCCAAAACUCAUGAAGAUUGAAGUUAUACUUGUAGCUUAUAGGUUUGCAGUUUUUCAAUUCAGUCUACGUUCUACUAAUACCAGUGUGGAGUACAAUGGCUCCUACGGCUCGGCUUCGCGGCCGGGAUCAGGCAUCGCUGGAUCGGUGGCACCAAAGGACGUGUUUGAGGGUGGCUUCUGCUUGUUCAUGAAGGCAACUAAGAAGGAGAAUUUGAUUAAAUUUCUUGAAGGAAAGAAAUAUUUUAUUUUCAGGCAGAAUUUUCAGAGUUUACAUUUGACAAUAUCUUCUCCUGCCAUUGCCAUAUGCCGAUAUGGUUAUAACUCAUAUCAGAAAGGCAAGUUCUUGUCAAAGGAAAUCUUCACCUACGUAAAGGACUGGCUAAGUUUUGUUGUUCGUUCCCGUUCUCGGGUGCUGUCCGGUGGGUCAGUUGUGCUCUUCAGCGCCUUCGUCUUUGUUGUCUCCUACACCUUUGCCUACACCCUCACCCACUACCACGGCUCCCGCAGCAAGAUGCUGGAGGAGACUAACCGUACUACCGAUGAUAACACGCUUCUUGCUUUGGUCCAGUUCGAGGCUGGCUGCAGCCACGACAUCGACGGCAUCCAUAACAAUCGCGGAUCCUUCGACAUCUGGAUUGACCGCUGCUCCGUCGUCGACUACGAUGGCGGGCUCAUCGACAUCAUGCGCCAGAGCAUCUACAUUGCUUGUCUCCAGGUCGUUCCCUUCUCUGUUAUUUGUCCCUGCUACUAA
rnacentral:rRNA from 1 species